GAUGAACGCUGGCGGCGUGCUUAACACAUGCAAGUCGAACGCUGAAGCUCAGCUUUUGUUGGGUGGAUGAGUGGCGAACGGGUGAGUAACACGUGAGUAACCUGCCCCCUUCUUUGGGAUAACGCCCGGAAACGGGUGCUAAUACUGGAUAUUCACUGGUCUUCGCAUGGGGGUUGGUGGAAAGGGUUUUUCUGGUGGGGGAUGGGCUCGCGGCCUAUCAGCUUGUUGGUGGGGUGAUGGCCUACCAAGGCUUUGACGGGUAGCCGGCCUGAGAGGGUGACCGGUCACAUUGGGACUGAGAUACGGCCCAGACUCCUACGGGAGGCAGCAGUGGGGAAUAUUGCACAAUGGGCGCAAGCCUGAUGCAGCGACGCCGCGUGAGGGAUGGAGGCCUUCGGGUUGUGAACCUCUUUCGCUCAUGGUCAAGCCGCAACAAUGGUUGUGGUGAGGGUAGUGGGUAAAGAAGCGCCGGCUAACUACGUG
rnacentral:rRNA from 1 species